rnacentral:rRNA from 1 species
AGGACGAACGCUGGCGGCGUGCGUAAUACAUGCAAGUCGAGCGGGCUAAUGCUUUCGGGUGUUAGUUAGCGGCGGACGGGUGAGUAACGCGUGAGUGACCUAGCCUGGUGGUGGGGGAUAACUGCCCGAAAGGGUGGCUAAUCCCGCAUGGGCCCUCUGGGUCGGACCAGAGGGGAAAGCUUCGAAAGAGGCGCCCGAGGGGGGGCUUGCGUCCCAUUAGGUGGUUGGUGGGGUAGUGGCCUACCAAGCCGAUGAUGGGUAGCUGGUCUGAGAGGAUGGCCGGCCACACUGGGACUGAGAGACGGCCCAGACUCCUACGGGGGGCAGCAGUAAGGGAUCUUCGCCAAUGGCCGGAAGGCUGAGCGAGCGACGCCGCGUGGGUGAUGGAAGGGUUUCGGCCUGUAAAGCCCUGGUUGUCGGGGAAGAGGAGUGGGACCGGUACCCGGACGGAGGAACGCCCCGGCUAACUACGUGCCAGCAGCCGC